UAUAAUGCCCGCCGUUCUGGUGCCCGCGCAGGCUCUCCGCCUGCGCAGUUAAACGGGAAACACGAGGCCGCCGCGCUCCGCGCCGCGGCCAAGGUGUGCUGCCCCCGCAACGGUCAACAAGCGUCGCCGCCCCCGGCGACAGGCCGCCUCGACAACCACUGUGCCCGCGCAUAGGAAGGUGAGGCAGUCGGUCUUGCCAGCCCGGAUACCGGCCAGGACAGGUGAACGGCC
rnacentral:ncRNA from 2 species